UCAAGCUAAUAAGAGCACAGGGUGGAUGCCAGGGCACCAGACGCCGAAGAAGGACGCGAUCAGCUGCGAUAAGCCAUGGUGAGCCGCAAAUAGGCUUUGACCCAUGGAUGUCCGAAUGAGGAAACUCAGCACGGGUAAUGCCGUGUUACCGCAUGAUGAAUCCAUAGUCAUGCGGGGGAAACCCGGGGAACUGAAACAUCUAAGUACCCGGAGGAAGAGAAAUCAACCGAGAUUCCCUUAGUAGCGGCGAGCGAAAGGGGAAGAGGCCAAACCGAUUGACUACGGUCGGUCGGGGUUGUGGACUGACACAAGGACUGCAAAGGAUAGCAGAAUCCGUUGGGAAGCGGAAUCAAAGAGGGUAAGAAUCCCGUAUGCGAAAUCCGAAGCGGCCGGUCAGGAUCCAGAGUACCACAGGACACGAGAAAUCCGGUGGGAAGCCGGGGGGACCACCCUCCAAGCCUAAAUACGUUCUGGUGACCGAUAGCGCAUAGUACCGUGAGGGAAAGGUGAAAAGAACCCCGGGAGGGGAGUGAAAGAGAACCUGAAACCGUAUGUCUACAAGCAGUCGGAGCGAAAGCGACGGCGUGCCUAUUGAAGAAUGAACCAACGAGUUACGUGCACUAGCGAGGUUAAGUGGAAGACACGGAGCCGGAGCGAAAGCGAGUCUUAAGAGGGCGGAUAGUUAGUGUACGUAGACCCGAAACCGCAGUGAUCUACCCAUGUCCAGGUUGAAGCGCAGGUAAAAUUGCGUGGAGGACCGAACCUGUGAGCGUUGAAAAGCUUUAGGAUGAGAUGUGGGUAGCGGUGAAAUUCCAAUCGAACGCGGAGAUAGCUGGUUCUCCCCGAAAUAGCUUUAGGGCUAGCCUCAGGCAGUAAGUAUAGGCGGUAGAGCACUGAUCGGGCUAGGGGCCGUAAAGGUUACCGAACCCUGUCAAACUCCGAAUGGAUAUACUGCAGAGCCUGGGAGUCAGACUACGAGUGAUAAGAUCCGUGGUCAAAAGGGAAACAGCCCAGACCACCAGCUAAGGUCCCCAAUGCCGUACUAAGUGGAGAAGGAUGUGGGGUCUCUAAAACAACCAGGAUGUUGGCUUAGAAGCAGCCACCAUUUAAAGAGUGCGUAAUAGCUCACUGGUCGAGAGACCCUGCGCCGAAGAUUACCGGGGCUAAAGUACGGAACCGAAGCUGUGGCUACAUACGUAAGUAUGUGGGGUAGGGGAGCGUUGUCUGAGGGCAGAAGUCGUACUGGAAGGUACGGUGGACUUCAGAGAAGUGAGAAUGUUGGUAUGAGUAGCGAAAAGAAAGGUGAGAAUCCUUUCCACCGAAAGCAUAAGGAUUCCUGGGCAACGAUCGUCGUCCCAGGGUAAGUCGGGACCUAAUCCGAGGCAGAGAGCGUAGGAGAUGGACAACUGGCAGAUAUUCCAGUACCGGUAAUGAUUGUUUGAGCGAAGGAGUGACACAGGAGGGCAGGCAGGCAGGAGAUUGGAAGUUCCUGUACAAGCGUGUAGGAUAGGUUACAGGCAAAUCCGUAACCUGAAAGUCUGAGGCGUGAUGUGGAGAGAAUAGAGAUAUUCUUGAAGCUGUUGACCCCACACUGUCGAGAAAAGCUUCUAGUGAGAGAAUUACCGCCCGUACCGUAAACCGACACAGGUAUGCGGGGAGAGAAUCCUAAGGUGCGCGGGAGAACCCUCGUUAAGGAACUCGGCAAAAUGUACCCGUAACUUCGGGAUAAGGGUAGCCGGCGUUGUGAAGGAAUUAACUUCUGGAGCAUAGACCGGUCGCAGAGAAGAGGCCCAAGCGACUGUUUACCACAAACACAGGUGCCUGCUAAAGAGAAAUCUGACGUAUAGGUGCUGACACCUGCCCAGUGCCGGAAGGUUAAGGAAGGAUGUCCGGAGUAAUCCAAAGCAUUCGACCGAAGCCCCGGUGAACGGCGGCCGUAACUAUAACGGUCCUAAGGUAGCGAAAUUCCUUGUCGGGUAAG
rnacentral:rRNA from 1 species